AACGAACGCUGGCGGCAUGCCUAAUACAUGCAAGUCGGACGAGAUCUUCGGAUCUAGUGGCGCACGGGUGCGUAACGCGUGGGAAUCUACCCUUGGGUUCGGAAUAACUUCUGGAAACGGAAGCUAAUACCGGAUGAUGACGUAAGUCCAAAGACUUAUCGCCCAGGGAUGAGCCCGCGUAGGAUUAGCUAGUUGGUGGGGUAAAGGCCUACCAAGGCGACGAUCCUUAGCUGGUCUGAGAGGAUGAUCAGCCACACUGGGACUGAGACACGGCCCAGACUCCUACGGGAGGCAGCAGUAGGGAAUAUUGGACAAUGGGGGCAACCCUGAUCCAGCAAUGCCGCGUGAGUGAUGAGGGCCUUAGGGUUGUAAAGCUCUUUUACCCGAGAUGAUAAUGACAGUAUCGGGAGAAUAAGCCCCGGCUAACUCCGUGCCAGCAGCCGCCGUAAUAC
rnacentral:rRNA from 1 species